AAAGAGUACUAUAAAAGAAAAAUGAAAUAAAAUUAAAAAAAAAAAAAAUAAAGGAGAAUUAACACUUACCUUUUGUAUUAUGGUUUAACAAGCCUAAAAAGAAAAAAUACUUCUAAGCCCGAAAUUUGAGGAUCUAACCACUUCUUCUUUUAGAGAAAUAACCCACUGUUGCAAGAGUGACAAAAAAGGAAUGGUUUGCAGUAAAAUGCUAAACGAAUCAAAUAAUAGCUGGUUUUUAAAGAAAAAAGUACAAGCUUUUGUUCAAAAAAAAUUUUUCUCUCUCAAAGAAAAAAACUAAAAUUUGAAAAAAAGAAAAUAGAAGAAAAGUCCUAUUUUCAAAAAGGAAACAACCAAAAAUAAAGGAAAAGAAAUAAAGAUUAAAAAAUCAAUGUAGGCCUAAAAGCGGUCACCAAAAAAGAAAGCGUUAAAGCUCAAAACUAAAAAUCAAAAAAUUUAAUGAAAAAACUAAACCUUAUUUUAGGUAUUUAAAAAUUUAUAAUGUUAAAACUAGUAAACAAAGUACCAAUAGAAAUAUAAUAAACAAAAAACCAAGAAGAAUUAAAUUAUCAAGAAAAAAAAAAAGUCAAAACUCAACUCAGAAGGUACAAACAGAAAAAAAAAGAAAAAAGGAACUAGGCAAAACAAGAAAAGGACUGUUUACCAAAAACAUAGCUCUUUGAACUAAAUCAUAAAGAGUUAAGCCUGCCCAAUGGAACUUAAAAAUCUUAAUGGCCGCGGUAUCCCUAACCGUGCGAAGGUAGCAUAAUCACUUGUCUCUUAAAUGGGGACCUGUAUGAACGGCACAACAUUUUCUAACUGUCUCCUUUCUACUCCUUAAAACUUCUAUUACCGUGAAGAAGCGUUAAUAAUUAAGAAAGACGAGAAGACCCUGUCGAGCUUAAACUUCCAAAAGAACAAAAAUUUUUUAUAAAACAAAAACUCUCUAAAGAAGUUUUGGUUGGGGCAACCAUGGAGAAAAAAAAACCUCCAGAAAAGCUUAAAGAUUUAUAAAUCAUAAUCAAAAAAAUAAACCAUAUUUUAAUGAAAACAAAACAGUUACCGCAGGGAUAACAGCGUAAUCUCCUUUAAGAGUCCACAUUGACAAGGAGGAUUGCGACCUCGAUGUUGGAUUAGGGCUACCAAAGGGUGCAGAAGCUCUUUAGGUUGGACUGUUCGUCCAAUAAUACCCUACAUGAUCUGAGUUCAGACCGACGAAAGUCAGGUCAGCUUCUAUCUUCUUUCUAAAAAACUUUUCCAGUACGAAAGGACAGAAAAGAAACUUCAAAUAAUUUUCAUCAAGAAGUAAAUAAAAUAUUUAAAUUUAAAAUUUUUAGUCAAAAAAAGGGU
rnacentral:rRNA from 1 species